UGUGUGUGUGUGUGUGUGUUCUAACCCAUAGAGAAUUGUACAAAGAGAAAGUGACAGGAGAGAUGUCACCACUAAAGUUGGAUCAUAAAUAUGUAAACACCUGAUGAAUGUAAUGGUGCAAGGGCCAGGCUUGUGGAAUCUCGUUGCUAAUUAGUCUUCUGUGGAUACAACCUUUUCUCUCUUUGGAGCUGGCAGACCUUGUGGAGAAGGCUGGAUGGAGAAAUGUUCCCACUGAAAUCAUCUUGCAUUCCGUUUUCUUCCUGGCCUCUGCCCUUCAGGUCCUUUAGGAACAUCAUUUUAGGAAUUCCCUCAAGCUUUAAUCUAAGCCUCUUGCCAAUGGCACUGUUUCUCAUUUCACGUGCUUCCUGGCUGCAGCUGCUCGAUCCCAGGGAGGAGGAGGCCUUUGAAAACACACCGGCUCUUCCAGGAAGGUAACCGGUACCUUUCUUCACAAAACAUGCUCACCUGUCCUCUCCUGUCCUAAUUAAUGAGAUGGAACCGAGAAAGCAGAAAGCAAUCAGCUCAUGCCUCUGUUACUCGUGCAGAGAUGGCCACUACCAAAGGCGCUGCAUCCGCCAAUGCCGGGAGCCAUGCUCCUCUCAAAGACUGUCAGCUUCAAUCACAUUAGUAAUACACAGGUCGUCAGUAGGAGAAAUAGUGGCCCUGGCUUAAUUUUAAAAACGACUUUGUGAGAAGUUCUCUGCAGGAAAUAAAAGCAUGAAGGAGCCAACCCCCAGCUGGAGGGAUGAAGGAAUUGGCAUUAAAUGAUCAUCAUAAAUAAUGAGGGCCAUCUGCGUGACUGUUGGAUUGGAACUAUCCACUGGACCCUGCCUGGUAGAUACAGCUGAGGAACUUGCUGCUUAUCAAGAGUGACUUAAGCUUUCGGGGGUAGAAACAGUGGAAAUAAAGCAGGGCUCCCAUGUUUAAGCUUUCUCUCCACUAGAAUACUCUUUAAAACAAAAAGAAGGAGCUGGGGACACCCUUCGCUCAUCUCUGAGGAAUCUCAGCAAACAGAGGCAGCCCUAGCUCUCCACUCAGUAACUGGGCUCAGGCCCCAGAACCUUCUCUGAGCUUUCUCUUCAGACUCUGAGCCCAUCUGUGGGGGAGCGUAAGGAAUACCAGUUCCCAUAAGUCCCAGGAUGGCUGUGGAUUUCCAGUGAGAUCAUACCUGUAACAUUAUGAAAUGAUUAAGUGUGUGAGAACCAUGUUCAUUUUGGAAUUGCAUGCUAGUCUUUGGCUUGUGUGUUUCUCUACCAUCAGACACACUGCUUACCCAGUGGAAAAAAAAAGGACAGCCCAUAAGUCAACAAGUAGAAACUGUAUAUUUUGACUUUUACUUCUAACAGUCUCCUAACACGUUUUUGACUCCUAAGGAUCUUGACUAGGGUUCUACAAAUACUGAAACAAAGGGGGAAAUGUGAGAUUCCCACCGGCCAUCAGGAUCUAUAAGAACCAAGAAGGAGCUGUGCUAUGCACCCUGUGUUUUGAUUCUCCUCACCUUGGGUUCUUAGUAGAGAUGGGCAACUCUGACUUGCUGACAAGCACACAUGUAAGUGGACAACAGUGAAGAAAAAAGUGCCUUACUGUGAGUUAAAUAAUGACACGACUUUCAAUCCAUGUUAGCUUCAUAACUCUUUUGCCCAGGGAAAUCUUGGGUACAAAUCCCCAAAUGAAACAAGUGGAGUUAUUUGAAGGUGGGGGUGGCCUUAGAAUUGAAACCUUAAGUCUUUCACAUUGCCUGUCUCCUGUCCUGCGGUGGCUCCCAUGUCAUCUCAACACAGUAGAGGAAUUUCUGUCGUGAUGAGCAGUUAUGUAAAUUAUGUAAGGAUGCUAGGGAGGAGCCUGGUCCUCGGUGAUGCCUGAAUUCUAUCGUUAUGUAUUCACUUCCUGCCUUUUCUCAUCCGUAGUCAUUUCAAAUGCAAGUAUCUUAGGCAACUUUAAUGUCAUAGGUUCAAUGUUACUUAGCUUUAUGUCAACUGGAGACAACCUAGAGUCAUUGGGAAAGAGGGACUUCCAAUUGAGAAAAUGCUCUGUAAGACUUACCUGUAGUAUUUUCUUGAUUAACAAUUGAUGUUGGAGGGCCCGGGACUCCGUGGGCAGUGCGACUCUUAGACAGCUGGUCCUGGGUUCUAUAAGAAAACCAUGGGGAAGAAGUCAGUAAGCAGCAUUCCGUGGUCCCUAUCUCAGUUUCUGCCUCCAGGUGUCUGCUUUGGGCUCCAACCUUGGCUUCCCUCAAUGAUGGACUGUGAUCAGGAAUUGUGAGCCAAAUAACCCCUGCCCCAAAAUGUUACAGUGAGCAUGAAUGUCCUAUUUAUGAGUGCCAGAACUGUGGUUUGGAGCACAAAGUUAGAUGGAGUUAUUUUAACAUUUUUAAAAUAAAAUUAAAUUUUAUAUCGACAAGAAUCCUGAUCCACCAGGGGAUUUCCUAGUCUACUAAUGACCUUGUGGAGAUUUUGUUCUGUGAAAAACUGUAUUUUAUGGCCUCUCACCCACCCACAGGAUAAAGGAGACAGAGAUUGUUAUCUCUUGCUCUGAAAAAAAAGAAAUCAGGGCCAGCAGUCUUGAGGUAAUAAGUAGCCACAAUCAGUAGCUUUGAGUUCUCUCCGUGUCCCGGGUGUUUGGGGCACUGCACCUUUAAAGUACAUAAAGAGACUCAAAGAUGCUUAUGUUUCCCCAGUGUGUACUUUAUAUGUAUAUAAAAUUUAAUUGCCCCUUUAUGGACACAACAUACCCUGCAAUCGCUAUCUAAAGCCUCACAUUUGCAGAUCAGUUAGAGGAUUAAGUAAACAAAGCCCUGGGAGAGCCAAGCCUGGGCAAAUCUGGGUGAACUUGUCCUCGGGUGCCUACUGUUGAUGGAACUUUCUCCCUGGGUAUAACCAAUGACAAUAGCUAGCCUUUGAUGAGGCCUUGGUGGCCCAGCAAGCCCAGCACUAAGCCCACAGGAGCAGAACUUUUGGACUGACAAUCACCUGGGAAGACACUUGAGUCACCCUCGUUUUACACGAGAGAACAGGCAGCAAAGCGUCAGAGGAGAGGUCCCAUCCAGACUCCAGAGAUCAUUAGCAAACCUACUGAGCUCGCCCUGGGCUUAAGGGAAACAGAAAAGCUGUAAAAGGAGAACCCAUUAAACAGAGGAAAAGCUUUUCUUUUGGUAUAUCUCCUCCAUGCUACUUUCCCCAUAUGACAAAGUUACUAAUAAUUCUUUACCUUCUCAACCUUCCCAAUGCUGUGACCCUUUAAUGCAGCUCAUCAUGUUGUGAUGACCCCUGUAAUUUUGAUACUGUUAUGAAUCUUAAUGUAAAUAUCUGAGACGCAGUAUAUCUGACACAUGACCUCUGUGAAAUGGUUGCUUGACCCCCAGAGGGGCUGAGAAACAUAGACUGAGAAAUACUGUCUUACGAUCAAUUUUUAUGACUAUCUGCUAUUCCAAUGUGUGAGUCUCACUCUCAUUAAUAGUUAUUUGGACAUGGGUUAUUUUCAGUUUAUUAAUAAUACUUUAGUAUCUGCCUGUGUGAACUAAAUAUUUUCUCAGUCUGGGAUUGUUUCAUGAUAAUCCACUAAAUUGGAACUACCAAGUCAAACUACAUUUAGGUUACAUUCCAAAAUUUCUAAGAAGGUUAUAUACCCUUUACAACUUCUGCAAACUUAUACAGUUACCAAUACAUUUGCACAGUUAUCUAAAUGCAUUUGUACCAAUACAUUUGUACAGUCACCACUAAUAUAUGGUGUUUGUUUUUGCCUUAUCCAUAUCUGCAUAAUUAUUAUGCUUUAAAAUAGGGGCUAGAGAGAUGACUCAGCAGUUAAGGGUACUGGCUGCUCUUCCAGAGGACCCUGGUUCAAUUCCCACAUGACAACUCACAACUGUC